rnacentral:rRNA from 1 species
GAACUGAAGAGUUUGAUCAUGGCUCAGAUUGAACGCUGGCGGCAGGCCUAACACAUGCAAGUCGAGCGGAUGAAGGGAGCUUGCUCUCUGAUUCAGCGGCGGACGGGUGAGUAAUGCCUAGGAAUCUGCCUGGUAGUGGGGGACAACGUUUCGAAAGGAACGCUAAUACCGCAUACGUCCUACGGGAGAAAGCAGGGGACCUUCGGGCCUUGCGCUAUCAGAUGAGCCUAGGUCGGAUUAGCUAGUUGGUGAGGUAAUGGCUCACCAAGGCGACGAUCCGUAACUGGUCUGAGAGGAUGAUCAGUCACACUGGAACUGAGACACGGUCCAGACUCCUACGGGAGGCAGCAGUGGGGAAUAUUGGACAAUGGGCGAAAGCCUGAUCCAGCCAUGCCGCGUGUGUGAAGAAGGUCUUCGGAUUGUAAAGCACUUUAAGUUGGGAGGAAGGGCAGUAAGUUAAUACCUUGCUGUUUUGACGUUACCGACAGAAUAAGCACCGGCUAACUUCGUGCCAGCAGCCGCGGUAAUACGAAGGGUGCAAGCGUUAAUCGGAAUUACUGGGCGUAAAGCGCGCGUAGGUGGUUUGUUAAGUUGGAUGUGAAAGCCCCGGGCUCAACCUGGGAACUGCAUCCAAAACUGGCAAGCUAGAGUAUGGCAGAGGGUGGUGGAAUUUCCUGUGUAGCGGUGAAAUGCGUAGAUAUAGGAAGGAACACCAGUGGCGAAGGCGACCACCUGGGCUAAUACUGACACUGAGGUGCGAAAGCGUGGGGAGCAACAGGAUUAGAUACCCUGGUAGUCCACGCCGUAAACGAUGUCGACUAGCCGUUGGGAUCCUUGAGAUCUUAGUGGCGCAGCUAACGCAUUAAGUCGACCGCCUGGGGAGUACGGCCGCAAGGUUAAAACUCAAAUGAAUUGACGGGGGCCCGCACAAGCGGUGGAGCAUGUGGUUUAAUUCGAAGCAACGCGAAGAACCUUACCAGGCCUUGACAUGCAGAGAACUUUCCAGAGAUGGAUAGGUGCCUUCGGGAGCUCUGACACAGGUGCUGCAUGGCUGUCGUCAGCUCGUGUCGUGAGAUGUUGGGUUAAGUCCCGUAACGAGCGCAACCCUUGUCCUUAGUUACCAGCACGUUAAGGUGGGCACUCUAAGGAGACUGCCGGUGACAAACCGGAGGAAGGUGGGGAUGACGUCAAGUCAUCAUGGCCCUUACGGCCUGGGCUACACACGUGCUACAAUGGUCGGUACAAAGGGUUGCCAAGCCGCGAGGUGGAGCUAAUCCCAUAAAACCGAUCGUAGUCCGGAUCGCAGUCUGCAACUCGACUGCGUGAAGUCGGAAUCGCUAGUAAUCGUGAAUCAGAAUGUCACGGUGAAUACGUUCCCGGGCCUUGUACACACCGCCCGUCACACCAUGGGAGUGGGUUGCUCCAGAAGUAGCUAGUCUAACCUUCGGGGGGACGGUUACCACGGAGUGAUUCAUGACUGGGGUGAAGUCGUAACAAGGUAGCCGUAGGGGAACCUGCGGCUGGAUCACCUCCUUA